UCUAAUACCGCAUAUGGGUCUUUCGGGAUUUAAAAGGCCUUCGGCGGUUUGGGAAGAGCCCGCGUAAGAUUAGCUAGUUGGUGAGGUAAAAGGCUCACCAAGGCGACGAUCUUUAGCUGGUUUGAGAGGAUGAUCAGCCACACUGGAACUGAGACACGGUCCAGACUCCUACGGGAGGGCAGCAGUUAGGAAAUUUUCCCACAAUGGGCGCAAGCCUGAUGGAGCAACGCCGCGUGCAGGAUGAAGGUUUUCGGAUUGUAAAACUGCUUUUUAUGUGUGAAGAAUAUGACGGUAACACAUGAAUAAGGAUCGGCUAACUCCGUG
rnacentral:rRNA from 1 species